ACAAAAUCUAGCCCUACAAAAAAAAAGACAUAAUUAUAGCAUAUAUAAUAAAUUAAAUCAUUUAACCUACUUAAAGUAUUGGAGAAAGAAAUUUUUUCUUAGGCGCCAUAGAGAAAGUACCGCAAGGGAAAGAUGAAAGAAACUUAUUUAUAGUACAAAUAAGCAAAGAUAUACCCUUGUACCUUUUGCAUUAUGGAUUAACUAGAACCCCUCUAGCCAAGAGAACUUUAGUUAGAAUUCCCGAAACCAAACGAGCUACCUAAGAACAACUUUAUGAGUUAACCCGUCCAUGUGACAAAAUGGUGGGAAGAUUUUUAGGUAGAGGUGAAAAGCCUAACGAGCUUGGUGAUAGCUGGUUACCCAAUCAAUGAAUUUUAGUUCAACUUUAAGCAUACCUCAAGAACUCUGAGUCCUAAUGUAAGCUUAAAAGAUAGUCUAAAGAGGUACAGCUCUUUAGACAAAGGAUACAGCCUUUAGUAGUGAGUAAUCAAAACAUUAACAAAGCAUAGUUGGCCUAAAAGCAGCCACCAAUAAAGAAAGCGUUUAAGCUCAAAACUCAAUCUUAUCUCAAUUCCAAAAUAAAUUUUCAACUCCUACAAUUUCAAUUGGGUUAAUCUAUAGACUUAUAGAUGAAAUAAUGUUAAUACGAGUAACAAGAAUUAAUUCUCCAAGCACAAGUGUAUAACAACCCGGAUGACCAUUGUUAGUUAACCACACAUAGAGCAAAUUCAUAAAUAAAAUAAUCUAUAAACCUAUAAAAUGUUAAUCCAACACAGGAGUGCUAGUUAAGGAAAGAUAUAAAGAAAUAAAAGGAACUAGGCAAACAUAAACCCCGCCUGUUUACCAAAAACAUCACCUCUAGCAUCACAAGUAUUAGAGGCAAUGCCUGCCCAGUGACUAAAGUUAAACGGCCGCGGUAUUCUGACCGUGCAAAGGUAGCAUAAUCACUUGUUCCUUAAUUAGGGACUAGAAUGAAUGGCUAAACGAGGGUUUAACUGUCUCUUAUUUUUCAUCAGUGAAACUGACCUUCCCGUGAAGAGGCGGGAAUAAUAAAAUUAGACGAGAAGACCCUAUGGAGCUUUAAUUUAUUAAUUUACUUUCAACAACUUGUAAUCUAAUGAAAUUAAAAACUGAAAACUAAAUUAAUGAUUUAGGUUGGGGCGACCUCGGAGAAUAGAUCAACCCCCGAAAGAUUAUGAUUCAGGCUGACAAGCCAAAAUAAGCAAGCCUAUCACAAUCGACCCAUUAGCUAUGAUCGACGAACCAAGUUACCCUAGGGAUAACAGCGCAAUCCUAUUUAAGAGUUCCUAUCGAAAAUAGGGUUUACGACCUCGAUGUUGGAUCAGGAUAUCCCAAUGGUGCAGCAGCUAUUAAUGGUUCGUUUGUUCAACGAUUAAAAUCCUACGUGAUCUGAGUUCAGACCGGAGCAAUCCAGGUCGGUUUCUAUCUGUUAAACAAUUUCUCCUAGUACGAAAGGACAAGAGAAGUGGAGCCAACUAUAUAUUAGAGCUCUUAAAUUAAUAAAUGAAUUCAUCUAAAUUUAAUAAUUAAGUAACAUCAUACAUCUAGACAAGAUG
rnacentral:rRNA from 1 species